rnacentral:rRNA from 1 species
GCUAGACGAGUUUGAUCCUGGCUCAGAUUGAACGCUGGCGGAAUGCUUUACACAUGCAAGUCGGGCGGCAGCGCGGGGGCAACCCUGGCGGCGAGCGGCGAACGGGUGAGUAACACAUCGGAACGUACCCUGUCGUGGGGGAUAACGAAUCGAAAGAUUCGCUAAUACCGCAUACGACCUGAGGGUGAAAGCGGGGGAUCGCAAGACCUCGCGCGAGAGGAGCGGCCGAUGGCGGAUUAGCUAGUUGGUGGGGUAAAGGCCCACCAAGGCGACGAUCCGUAGCGGGUCUGAGAGGACGGCCCGCCACACUGGGACUGAGACACGGCCCAGACUCCUACGGGAGGCAGCAGUGGGGAAUUUUGGACAAUGGGGGCAACCCUGAUCCAGCCAUUCCGCGUGAGUGAAGAAGGCCUUCGGGUUGUAAAGCUCUUUCGGCAGGAACGAAACGGCGGGCUCUAACAUAGCCUGUCAAUGACGGUACCUGAAGAAGAAGCACCGGCUAACUACGUG